AGUACGUGAAACUGCUUAGAGGUUAAGCCCGAUGAACCUGAAUAUCCAUUAUGGAAAAUUCAACAUUAAUAUUAUAAUAUUUAUUUAUAAAUAUUAUAAAAAUAGUGUGCAAUUUUUCCAUAUAAGGACAUUGUAAUCUGUUAAUGUAAUAAAUAUUUAUCAUAAGAUUCAGUAUAUAAAAGUUUAUUCAAAUUAGUUAUUUUCCGAUUUCUAACAUAGAAUAAAUUUAAUUGAAUUUGAUAAAUCAUUGACAGAUUUAUUUAUAUAUAGUGCUUAAAUUCUUAAUUGAAUUUUACAAUAAUUUAUAAAUGUAUUUUCAUUUAUUUAUUUAUUGUAUGCACUUAUAUGAUUAACAAUGCUAUAGAUUCAGGAUACCUUCGGGACCCGUCUUGAAACACGGACCAAGGAGUCUAACAUAUGUGCAAGUCAUUGGGUAUUUUUAAUAAAACCCAAAGGCAUAAUUAACUUAACUGUUUUUUUAUAUGGGAUUAGUUUAUAUUUUAUUAUGAAAUAUUUAUUCAAUCCCGGGGCGUUCUAUAUAGUUAUGUAUAAUAAUAUUUAUAUUAUUUAUGCCUCUAACUAGAGCGUACCUUGAGCAUAUAUGCUGUGACCC
rnacentral:rRNA from 1 species